ACCUACUGUUUAAUUUUGAGGGUUCGUUUUUACGAAUACUCAAAAUUAGCACUUUUAGCAACAGAAUAAACUGAACGCAUGUGAAGUUUGUUUGUUGGCGCUGUGCAUUAGCACUUUAAGCAACGGAAUUUAUUCGUUGGCGCUGUGCGUUAGCACUUUGAAAACUGCAUAUAUAUUUAGUGAUAUGACAUCUAAUUUGUAAUAUAUAAAGUUGAUAACUUUUUAAAAUUAUCGAAGUUGAUAGCUUCUAAUCUAUCAAACCUUUUUAACUGGUCAA
rnacentral:misc_RNA from 1 species